rnacentral:rRNA from 1 species
CUUGUACCUCAAAUCAGGUAGGACUACCCGCUGAACUUAAGCAUAUCAAUAAGCGGAGGAAAAGAAACCAACAGGGAUUGCCUCAGUAGCGGCGAGUGAAGCGGCAAAAGCUCAAAUUUGAAAUCUGGCGUCUUUGGCGUCCGAGUUGUAAUUUGAAGAAGGUAUCUUUGGGCCCGGCUCUUGUCUAUGUUCCUUGGAACAGGACGUCACAGAGGGUGAGAAUCCCGUGCGAUGAGAUGGCCCGGGUCUAUGUAAAGUUCCUUCGACGAGUCGAGUUGUUGGG